rnacentral:lncRNA from 1 species
UUACAGGCAACAGACAGUAGUGAACACAAAGUAGAUGGAGACAAUGUCAACCUUCAGGUUGUCAAUGCUACAACUCCAGCUCAAUACUUCCAUCUUCUCAGACGUCAGGUGGUUCGGAACUUCAGAAAACCAUUGGUGGUGAUAGCUCCUAAAACCAUCUUACGUUUACCUGCAGCAACUUCUACCUUAGAAGAUAUGUUACCUGGAAAAACAUUCUUACCAGUGAUUGGUGAUAAGAAAGUUAAAGGUGACAAGGUCAAAAAGGUCAUUUUCUGUAGCGGAAAACAUUUCUAUACAUUGGAUAAGGAAAGGGAUUCCAGGAAGUUAGAAGAUGUAGCACUUGUUAGAAUAGAGGUACUUCUAAAAAGUAAAAUCAAAGAAAAUUCAAAAUGGAAAUUCCCUGAUCAAAUGACAAAAUCAAAAGCUCAAACAUAUCAAACAAAUGGACAACAACUGUCAUAUUCCUGACGUGGUACAGGCAUUAUUUUAAGUAGAAAAAUGGUGGAUUAAACCUGGUUUUCAUAGCUACACAACCUCUCACUUGUAUGACAUUUGCAGAAAAUAUCAUUACAUUGACAAUGAUGUGGGUCUUUGUGGGAACAAAACAAACAGACACAAUUGGCAAAAAAGUUGGGGUAAUGCAGACUGAAAAUUAUGAUUCCAUUUUUUGAGAACUUUUUUUUUAAUUAUGUGGUUUUGAAAAAAAAUUUCCAUUAAAACAUUUAUUUUGUAUUCAAUACACAAGAAGGAGAUGUUCAUACACUAGAAAUGAUUUUGACCCUGAUUUUCCAGUAAUUGAACCUUUACACAUAAAAGAGGUAGUGUGCCAUGGUGUCCUACACUGUAUUGACACAUAUUGUUAUGUUUUUGAUAUAUUUAAAAGAGAUUUGUUUUCACCACUUACUUAGAGAUAACUAUUUUUGUAUAUGCUUUUCAUUGUAGAGUCUAUGUCCAUUCCCAGCAGGGGAAAUUCAACAAGAAGUAACCAAAUAUCCUAAUGCUACAGGUAUAUUUUAAUUAUUACAAUUUGUAUGCAGCAAUGAUAUAUUUUUGAAUUUGCAUAAUGUUAAAAGAAGGUAGUAGAAAAAGUAUUAUAAAAAAAGCAAAAUCAAACAGAUUCAAGAUGUUAAUUUGAUUACUUAACAAAGUUCUCCCUCAGAGAACAGUAUUUAGCAUCAAACGAAACACUAAGAUAAUUCAAUACACCUCAUCCAUAUUUGGAAAUCUGUCCUAGUUAACCUGAGAAUCUGUUCCGUUUGAACUAUUGACAUCAUACAACAAUCACUUUUCCAUUGUGGCGUCAGAUAUUUGGUAUUAUGCUCUUCAAAAUUUUUGGAACCUUUGUGAUGUCCAGUAAUGGCGGACAAAUAGCAAUACAAUGUAUGGAGAUAUACGAAUCAUAUGUCGAUCAUCAAACACCAAACAAUACAUGCCAUUUCUAACCUCAAAUUGAGUAUUAUGACACCUACUGUUAGAUUGAUUGAUCGAUGGUUGAUUUACACUACAGCAGCACAUAAGGUUACAUCAUAACCAGCUAACAGUUAGAAGAAUAUUUCACAGUAUUUCAAGCAAGAAUUUUUUUUUACCAGGAUAUUCAUUGUUGUUUUUCAGAUUUCCUUUGGAGUCAAGAAGAACACAGGAAUAUGGGAGCAUGGACAUUUGUCUCUCCAAGGUUUAAUAAUUUAGUUGGAUGCCAGGUUUGUUUUAAAAUAUAUUUGUAUACAAUGUAAUUAGUUCCAAGAAAUACCUCUGAAUCAUUUCAACUGAUUGGUCAUUUGAUAAUAUACCAGAAAUAAAUAAAUGACAAACAAAUUGCUUAAAAAUACAUUUUACAUGUUGGACGGUAUUUUAUAGAAAAUAAUAAUUUCAGUUUUUUUAUUUAUUACUUAUUAUUAGCUGGAGACGUGAAUUAAACAGACAAAAAAGCAUAACGAAAUGGACAAACAAAAUUUAAAGAGAAUAAUGGUUAUAAUAGGGUGCUAAAAUUUUAAAGAAUAGACUAUUAUGAACAAAAAUAAGAAGACUAGAGAAAAAUGUAGAAAAAAUGUGAAAUACAGAAAUUAAGAAACUCCAUCCUGAACCUAUUUCUAUGUCACUUAUAAAAGAGGACUUUACUUACUGAACUUAUUUUUAUUAUAUUGUAGUUACGGUAUGUUGGAAGAGAUCAUUUAGGUUCUCCUGCUACAGGUAUUGGUGAAGUACACAGACAAGAAAGUAUACAAAUCAUCGAGGACACAUUUAGUU